AUGUCUUCUUCUAGCUCCCACGCCACCUCGCGGAUCCAGAUUCCGGCAUGCGUGGAGAUGUCGACCUUCCUUUGUCCAUGGUACCGGGCGGAAGUUGAUUGGAGGGUUUUGCACACACCGAAGAACCAGAAUUUUCCUUCUACGUGUGCAGCGAGAAUGGGGGUGAAAUGUUUCUUUCUUUGGGUUGAUGCUCUGGCCAAGACACUAAUGAAUGAACUGCUAGAAGAGCACGAAGAAUGGUUGCCCAUUCUUCCACGAACGGCAGUAGCCGCAGCGCGAGCUCCGAAAGAAGAGACGGAGGGAGGAGCGCGCAAUGAUAGAGAGGUAGUUGUUGAGCUUAGGAGGUUGAACCAGAAGAUUAGGAAGCUUCAAGAUCAAGCACAAAUACCCAUUUUCUAUUACAUUUGGGCAUUUGUAGGCAUGGUAAUCACUAUGGGUGUAAUGUUGAAGUUGUAUGGAAAGGCAUGA
rnacentral:rRNA from 1 species